UACGGAGGAUGCAAGCGUUGUUCGGAAUUACUGGGCGUAAAGAGCACGUAGGCGGAUGUUUAAGUCAGGUGUGAAAGACCGUGGCUCAACCACGGGGUUGCACAUGAAACUGGGCAUCUUGAGGGCAGGAGAGGGCAGUAGAAUUCCUGGUGUAGCGGUGAAAUUCGUAGAGAUCGGGAGGAAUACCAGUGGCGAAGGCGGCCACCUGGACAGGUACUGACGCUGAGGUGCGAAAGUGUGGGGAGCAAACAGG
rnacentral:rRNA from 1 species